rnacentral:rRNA from 1 species
GAUGAACGCUGGCGGCGUGCCUAACACAUGCAAGUCGAACGGAGUCCAGCCUUUAAGACCUUCGGGUCAAAGAGGGGAAGACUGAGUGGCGGACGGGUGAGUAACACGUGGGCAACCUGGCUCAUAGAGGGGGAUAACAGAGAGAAAUUUCUGCUAAUACCGCAUAAACACACACUGCCGCAUGGCAGAGGGUGAAAAGAGAAUCGCUAUGAGAUGGACCCGCGUCUGAUUAGCCAGUUGGCAGGGUAAGAGCCUACCAAAGCGACGAUCAGUAGCCGAUCUGAGAGGAUGAACGGCCACAUUGGGACUGAGACACGGCCCAAACUCCUACGGGAGGCAGCAGUGGGGGAUAUUGCACAAUGGGGGGAACCCUGAUGCAGCGACGCCGCGUGAGUGAAGAAGUAUUUCGGUAUGUAAAGCUCUAUCAGCAGGGAAGAUAAUGACAGUACCUGAAUAAGAAGCCCCGGCUAACUACGUG